rnacentral:ribozyme from 1 species
ACGAGUUUUGACCAUGCAAAAAUCCCUCUGUGCAAUGAAAAUGACAGGCCACAGUGAAUUACACAAAAGAUUCUAGGGGGGGCCUUCUCGAGUCUUUUACCUUCUCCAAUAAUCUAAGCUUGGGUACACGGGGAAAGCCAACCCCUUGGGUGGAUGGGUCAUAUGGCUAAAUUGAGCGGG